UAUACGUGCGGGCGCGCGCGUGUGUGUGUGUGUGUGUGUGUGUGUGUGUGUGUGUGUGUGGCCGCCCUAUGAUGAUGAAUACCUGGCAUAUCAAGCUGUUCUGGUCAUGUCUUCAUGUCUGAUUCAUACAGGCAGCUGUGUCUCUAGCAGCACUGAUCCAUAUGUUACUGACUGGGUUUCAACCCUGGUCACCUGCAUGCCACAAGACACUGUUUGUCACGCCCAUCACACACAACAGACACAUGACACAUAGUUCCCCCUGAACAGCUUCUUUAUUUCUAUCUCCAGCAUUAUUUACACAAUUCAAAAAGAAAUAUGUGCUAACGGAUUAAAAUCACACAAUUCUCAAACACACGAUUACAAAGACAGAUUCAUUAAAUAUAAGAGUGGAGUACUCUGUGUAUCACCGGAUCAUCAUUACACUUACCAUAAAACUCUUUUGGAGAGGAAAGUUAUUCUCCAAAAGAAGUAUUGUCAAGACAAUGAUAUUCAGAGGAGUUAGUUGGCUAAAGCACACACAGAUCAUGAGACCAGGCUAAUCAGAAAUUGCUUCUCCAAGAGACUCACAGUCUUUCACUGUGAACUGGAACAUUCUCACUGUGUGUUCAGUGGUGAGCUCCUCCCAGGCUGACUCCUGCCCAGGGUUAUACUGCAUACAGUCGUAUACCCUUUUCACACUACUACGCCAAACCAAGCUGUACUGGGCUUGCCCAGUUACACAUCUCCCAUAGUUGCUGGACCCAUGUUGGAAAAAAUAAUGUGAAAAGAAAAUAUGCUGGCCAGCACAGUACUGUUUGGGUGAACCCUGUGGCGUUAAGCAGGCACUGGGUUCUCCAACUCUGGUCCUGGAAAGCUGCUGGGUGGGCAGUUGAAGACCCGUGCCUGAGUCUAGAGCUGUGGCUGGAAAAAGAGAAGGGGGAGGCAUUAUUCAAACUCAGUCGGUAAUCUAGUUGAUGCCCUGAAGGUAUUUACUGCUAUAGAGUUUCUGCUCUAACCGGUUGGAAAGGACAAAUCUACAUGCAAACACUCACACACACGUACUGUACUUAACCAAGUGUAUAUUUGCAUAUGGAUCAUAGUGAAUGUGAGUCAUUAAUGACUGGAAAUGUCUGUAAGCUGCAGCACCUGAAGGCCUCUCUGUCUCUGGUUCUCAUGCAUGUUGGAGCAUGAUAAACCUCCUGCAUGUGACUCAUUAGUCUAUAUUAGUCACUUUAUUGGUCAUAGACCACAAUGAGCCCUGAGCAGUUAAUAUAUUGUGGAAGCUGUUUUCUGACUCAUCCAUAGAGACUCCAUAUCUAACUGUAUAUCAGAAUGUAAUCAAUCGGACACAGUGUAAUGAUGUAGAAAUGUUCCCAUUAUUAUAUCAAGUGUCAGUUUCAGUUAACAGACAUUUGUCUGGUUCUAUACUGUGCUGGAGCCAACUCUUCUUGCCCAGUUCCAUACCACAUGUGUUGUAGCCCCUAGCAGCAGCAGUAUAAGAUACUAACCAACUGAGCCCCCGCUGCGCCUCUUCCCUCCCGCGGGUGUGUCUUCCUCAUUCUCAGCUAUAGCGUCCUCCAGAUCCAAAUCUCCCCCUGUUUCAGUUCAUUAAAACAAUGAGUUUUCAUUUAUCAACGAUGUGGUGUCAACUUUAGUGUGGCGUGUAAAGCCAAACUAGCCCUUCCCCCUGAAACACNNNNNNNNNNNNNNNNNNNNNNNNNCUAUAGUAUGGAAACAUCCAGAACACACACAUUGGAGAGAGAGACAGAGAGUGAGGGAGCAGGACUCACCUUGAUUUUCAGCUGUGCCUGAUUAGAAGAAAUAAAAUCAAAGAAACAGACAAUUAUUCACAUAACACACACACAAAUAAAACACACCUACACCCCCCGAUUAUUGACAUAAUAUAUCAUUAGGGGAAGCAAGGCCUUUACCUUCUGCUUCUGCUGCAUGGGCUGGAAAAAGAGAAGGGGGAGGCAUUAUUCAAACUCAGUCGGUAAUCUAGUUGAUGCCCUGAAGGUAUUU
rnacentral:lncRNA from 13 species